rnacentral:ribozyme from 1 species
AGUUCGAGCCUCGAAAUUUGUUUUGUUUCACCUUUUUUAUUUAUUUAUUUGUUUAAAAAUUUUAAAUCCCAAACUAAUAAAAUUAAAGAAAUCAAGUUUACU